UUGCAUGAGACGCUAUAGCUACAUUGGCAAUGCAGUCUCUCAAACAUUGGAGCAACAAGACAGCAACAACUCACCAAGAACCUGCUUUCAGAGCACUGAAGAUUUGCACAAGGCAGGAAAAGAAGAACACCUGGAUUGAUUUCUUGCCCAGGACUACAAGAAGUUGAAUUUUUGGAUCACAUCCACAGGAGUACCAACAACUUAGCCCAAAGAGCUACAAUGAAUAUGCUAGACCCACCAAACACGGAACAGCAAGUUGACUCAGCACUUUCAAGAACAGAGAGUUCCAUUUGAAAGCUGAGAAAUACUCAAGAUUCACAUAGUGCCAUCCAGAGAACACUUCCCUGGGCAUCCCAAAGAGAAGGGGUCUUGUACCCUUCGGUAUUUUGCUGACGAGAACACACUUUUGCACAGAACUGCCUCAGCGGAGCUAGGAGAAGAGGAGGCCUGGGAGCAGAGGCACACCUGGGCAAGACAAACAGAAGCAAAAGAAAGAUGUAUGCAGGUCACCCUAAGUCAGCUGUGACUUGACAGCGCUUCCCACCACCAAGUGCUUGGCAGGAGACCUAGAAAAAACUAUUUCAAGAAGCAGGAGCUGCCUACAACGUGUAAGUAGAAAGUGAAUCGUUUGCGUGGUCCAAAAGAGAUGAAGCGCAGGCAGGAAGAGCCCCUUUCACAUCCCAAUGACAUCUGUAGAAAA